rnacentral:rRNA from 1 species
GAUGAACGCUGGCGGCGUGCUUAACACAUGCAAGUCGAACGAAGCACUUUAUUUGAUUUCCUUCGGGACUGAUUAUUUUGUGACUGAGUGGCGGACGGGUGAGUAACGCGUGGGUAACCUGCCUUGUACAGGGGGAUAACAGUUGGAAACGGCUGCUAAUACCGCAUAAGCGCACGACAUCGCAUGAUGCAGUGUGAAAAACUCCGGUGGUAUAAGAUGGACCCGCGUUGGAUUAGCUAGUUGGUGAGGUAACGGCCCACCAAGGCGACGAUCCAUAGCCGACCUGAGAGGGUGACCGGCCACAUUGGGACUGAGACACGGCCCAAACUCCUACGGGAGGCAGCAGUGGGGAAUAUUGCACAAUGGGCGAAAGCCUGAUGCAGCGACGCCGCGUGAGCGAAGAAGUAUUUCGGUAUGUAAAGCUCUAUCAGCAGGGAAGAUAAUGACGG